CAUGGAGGGUGAGAAUCCCGUCCGGCCAACUUUUUGACGCUUUACGAUACACUUUCAAAGAGUCGAGUUGUUUGGGAUUGCAGCUCAAAAUGGGAGGUAAAUUUCUCCUAAGGCUAAAUAUUGGCGAGAGACCGAUAGCGAACAAGUACCGUGAGGGAAAGAUGAAAAGAACUUUGAAAAGAGAGUAAAAUAGUACGUGAAAUUGUUGAAAGGGAAACGAUUGAAGUCAGUCGUACCGACGAUAAAUCAGCUCCUCGAGUGCGGACUUGUGGGCGUGCGUGAGCUUUAAAACCUCGCUGUUUGCAACGUUUGUACUUUUUGGGUGUACUUUUUCGUAUGGUAGGCCAACGUCAGUUUCGAUUACCAUAAAAUGACCGGAGGAAUGUAGCUUCGAUCUCGUAUUGAGGUGUUAUAGCCACUGGUAGAUGUGGUGAUUGAAACUGAGGAUUGCAACGAAUACCCUUUGGGCUAUCCGUCUGAUCUCUGAAAGUUGCUUAGGUGCCGAAAGCGUGCUUACGGUUAUUUAAGUUGACGGUCAAUAGGUUAGAACGUGAUUACAUUCGUUAAGGAUGUUGACGUAAUGG
rnacentral:rRNA from 1 species